CAACCCUUUGUCUUUAAUUGCCAUCAUUUAGUUGGGCACUUUAAGAGACUGCCGGUGUUAAGCCGGAGGAAGGUGGGGAUGACGUCAAGUCCUCAUGGCCUUUAUGCCCAGGGCUACACACGUGCUACAAUGGGCGGUACAAAGAGAAGCAACCUCGCGAGGGUGAGCAAAUCUCAAAAAGCCGUUCUCAGUUCGGAUUGCAGGCUGCAAUUCGCCUGCAUGAAGUCGGAAUCGCUAGUAAUCGCAGGUCAGCAUACUGCGGUGAAUACGUUCCCGGGCCUU
rnacentral:rRNA from 1 species